GAUGAACGCUGGCGGCGUGCCUAAUACAUGCAAGUCGAGCGAACAGACAAGGAGCUUGCUCCUUUGACGUUAGCGGCGGACGGGUGAGCAACACGUGGGUAACCUACCUAUAAGACUGGGAUAACUUCGGGAAACCGGAGCUAAUACCGGAUAAUAUUUCGAACCGCAUGGUUCGAUAGUGAAAGAUGGUUUUGCUAUCACUUAUAGAUGGACCCGCGCCGUAUUAGCUAGUUGGUAAGGUAACGGCUUACCAAGGCGACGAUACGUAGCCGACCUGAGAGGGUGAUCGGCCACACUGGAACUGAGACACGGUCCAGACUCCUACGGGAGGCAGCAGUAGGGAAUCUUCCGCAAUGGGCGAAAGCCUGACGGAGCAACGCCGCGUGAGUGAUGAAGGUCUUCGGAUCGUAAAACUCUGUUAUUAGGGAAGAACAUACGUGUAAGUAACUAUGCACGUCUUGACGGUACCUAAUCAGAAAGCCACGGCUAACUACGUGCCAGCAGCCGCGGUAAUACGUAGGUGGCAAGCGUUAUCCGGAAUUAUUGGGCGUAAAGCGCGCGUAGGCGGUUUUUUAAGUCUGAUGUGAAAGCCCACGGCUCAACCGUGGAGGGUCAUUGGAAACUGUAAAACUUGAGUGCAGAAGAGGAAAGUGGAAUUCCAUGUGUAGCGGUGAAAUGCGCAGAGAUAUGGAGGAACACCAGUGGCGAAGGCGACUUUCUGGUCUGUAACUGACGCUGAUGUGCGAAAGCGUGGGGAUCAAACAGGAUUAGAUACCCUGGUAGUCCACGCCGUAAACGAUGAGUGCUAAGUGUUAGGGGGUUUCCGCCCCUUAGUGCUGCAGCUAACGCAUUAAGCACUCCGCCUGGGGAGUGCGACCGCAAGGUUGAAACUCAAAGGAAUUGACGGGGACCCGCACAAGCGGUGGAGCAUGUGGUUUAAUUCGAAGCAACGCGAAGAACCUUACCAAAUCUUGACAUCCUUUGACAACUCUAGAGAUAGAGCCUUCCCCUUCGGGGGACAAAGUGACAGGUGGUGCAUGGUUGUCGUCAGCUCGUGUCGUGAGAUGUUGGGUUAAGUCCCGCAACGAGCGCAACCCUUAAGCUUAGUUGCCAUCAUUAAGUUGGGCACUCUAAGUUGACUGCCGGUGACAAACCGGAGGAAGAUGGGGAUGACGUCAAAUCAUCAUGCCCCUUAUGAUUUGGGCUACACACGUGCUACAAUGGACAAUACAAAGGGCAGCGAAACCGCGAGGUCAAGCAAAUCCCAUAAAGUUGUUCUCAGUUCGGAUUGUAGUCUGCAACUCGACUACAUGAAGCUGGAAUCGCUAGUAAUCGUAGAUCAGCAUGCUACGGUGAAUACGAUCCCGGGUCU
rnacentral:rRNA from 1 species